GCCUAAAGCGUCCGUAGCCUGCUCUGUAAGUUUCCGGUUAAAUCCAUUAGCUCAACUAAUGGCCUGCCGGAAAUACUGCAGAGCUAGGAAGUGGGAGAGGUAGACGGUACUCGGUAGGAAGGGGUAAAAUCCUUUGAUCUAUUGAUGACCACCUGUGGCGAAGGCGGUCUACCAGAACACGUUCGACGGUGAGGGAUGAAAGCUGGGGGAGCAAACCGGAUUAGAUACCCGGGUAGUCCCAGCUGUAAACGAUGCAGACUCGGUGAUGCGCUGGCUUGUGGCCAGUGCAGUGCCGCAGGGAAGCCGUUAAGUUUGCCGCCUGGGAAGUACGUACGCAAGUAUGAAACUUAAAGGAAUUGGCGGGGGAGCACCACAAGGGGUGAAGCCUGCGGUUCAAUUGGAGUCAACGCCAGAAAUCUUACCCGGAGAGACAGCAGAAUGAAGGUCAAGCUGAAGACUUUACCAGACAAGCUGAGAGGUGGUGCAUGGCCGCCGCCAGCUCGUGCCGUGAGAUGUCCUGUUAAGUCAGGUAACGAGCGAGAUCCCUGCCUCUAGUUGCCACCAUUACUCUCAGGAGUAGUGGGGCGAAUUAGCGGGACCGCCACAGUUAAUGUGGAGGAAGGAAGGGGCCACGACAGGUCAGUAUGCCCCGAA
rnacentral:rRNA from 1 species